rnacentral:rRNA from 1 species
UGGAUGCAGUAACUCUGACUGUAAUAAAGUAGCAUAAUUAAUUGUCACUUAAUUGGUGGAGAGAAUGAAUGGUUAUACGAAUUUUUCACUGUCUUGAAAGAAAUUUUUUAAAAUUGAAAUAAUAGUAAAGAUGCUAUUUAAAAUUGUAAGACGAAGAGACCCUAUAGAGCUUUACUAUAAACUUUUUGAAUUAAAAAUAAUAUAAACUUAUUUAUUUAAAAAAGUUUGGUAGUUUAGUUGGGGCGACUGUUUUUUAAAUAAAACAAAAACAUGCAAAGUAAUAAAUUUAUUUAUUGUAUAAUUAAAAUAUUUAACAAUUAUUAUAGUAGGCUAUAGUGACCCGUUAACUUAAUAAAAUUUAGUUAACGAUUAAUUGAUAAAAGCUACCUUAGGGAUAACAGGA